rnacentral:rRNA from 1 species
UACAGAGGUCUCAAGCGUUGUUCGGAUUCAUUGGGCGUAAAGGGUGUGUAGGUGGCGCGCUAAGUCGGGUGUGAAAUUUCGGGGACUCAACCCCGAACUUGCAGUGGGUACGGGCAGACUAGAGUGUGGUAGGGGAGACUGGAAUUCCUGGUGUAGCGGUGAAAUGCGCAGAUAUCAGGAGGAACACCGGUGGCGAAGGCGGGUCUCUGGGCCGAAACUGACGCUGAGGAGCGAAAGCGUGGGGAGCAAACAGG